AGAGUUUGAUCCUGGCUCAGGACGAACGCUGGCGGCGUGCCUAACACAUGCAAGUCGAACGGACGAGGCCCCUUCGGGGACCGAGUUAGUGGCGGACGGGUGAGUAACGCGUGAGCAACCUGCCUUUCAGAGGGGGACAACAGUUGGAAACGACUGCUAAUACCGCAUGAUGCAGCGAGAUCGCAUGGUCUUGCUGUCAAAGAUUUAUCGCUGAAAGAUGGGCUCGCGUCUGAUUAGCUAGUUGGAGGGGUAACGGCCCACCAAGGCGACGAUCAGUAGCCGGACUGAGAGGUUGAACGGCCACAUUGGGACUGAGAUACGGCCCAGACUCCUACGGGAGGCAGCAGUGGGGAAUAUUGGGCAAUGGGGGAAACCCUGACCCAGCAACGCCGCGUGAAGGAAGAAGGCUUUCGGGUUGUAAACUUCUUUUACCAGGGACGAAGAACGUGACGGUACCUGGAGAAAAAGCCACGGCUAACUACGUGCCAGCAGCCGCGGUAAUACGUAGGUGGCAAGCGUUGUCCGGAUUUACUGGGUGUAAAGGGCGUGUAGGCGGAGCUGCAAGUCAGAUGUGAAAUCUGGGGGCUUAACCCUCAAACUGCAUUUGAAACUGUAGCCCUUGAGUAUCGGAGAGGCAGGCGGAAUUCCUAGUGUAGCGGUGAAAUGCGUAGAUAUUAGGAAGAACACCAGUGGCGAAGGCGGCCUGCUGGACGACAACUGACGCUGAGGCGCGAAAGCGUGGGGAGAAAACAGGAUUAGAUACCCUGGUAGUCCACGCUGUAAACGAUGAAUACUAGGUGUGGGGGGACUGACCCCCUCCGUGCCGGAGUUAACACAAUAAGUAUUCCACCUGGGGAGUACGACCGCAAGGUUGAAACUCAAAGGAAUUGACGGGGGCCCGCACAAGCAGUGGAUUAUGUGGUUUAAUUAGACGCAACGCGAAGAACCUUACCGGGAUUUGACAUCCUACUAACGAAGCAGAGAUGCAUUAGGUGCCCUUCGGGGAAAGUAGAGACAGGUGGUGCAUGGUUGUCGUCAGCUCGUGUCGUGAGAUGUUGGGUUAAGUCCCGCAACGAGCGCAACCCCUAUUGUUAGUUGCUACGCAAGAGCACUCUAGCGAGACUGCCGUCGACAAAACGGAGGAAGGCGGGGACGACGUCAAAUCAUCAUGCCCCUUAUGUCCCGGGCUACACACGUAAUACGAUGGCGGUCAACAAAGGGAAGCAAAGCCGCGAGGCAGAGCAAACCCCCAAAAGCCGUCUCAGUUCGGAUUGCAGGCUGCAACUCGCCUGCAUGAAGCUGGAAUUGCUAGUAAUCGUGGAUCAGAAUGCCACGGUAAAUACGUUCCCGGGCCUUGUACACACCGCCCGUCACACCAUGAGAGUCGGGAACACCCGAAGUCCGUAGUCUAACCCGCAAGGGAGGGCGCGGCCGAAGGUGGGUCUGAUAAUUGGGGUGAAGUCGUAACAAGGUA
rnacentral:rRNA from 1 species